rnacentral:rRNA from 1 species
AUACGUAGGGUGCAAGCGUUAAUCGGAAUUACUGGGCGUAAAGCGUGCGCAGGCGGUUUUGUAAGACAGGGGUGAAAUCCCCGGGCUCAACCUGGGGACUGCCAUUGUGACUGCAAGGCUGGAGUGCGGCAGAGGGGGAUGGAAUUCCGCGUGUAGCCGUGAAAUGCGUAGAUAUGCGGAGGAACACCGAUGGCGAAGGCAAUCCCCUGGGCCUGCACUGACGCUCAUGCACGAAAGCGUGGGGAGCAAACAGGAUUAGAUACCCUGGUAGUCCACGCCCUAAACGAUGUCAACUGGUUGUUGGGGAUUUAUUUUCUCAGUAACGAAGCUAACGCGUGAAGUUGACCGCCUGGGGAGUACGGCCGCAAGGUUAAAACUCAAAUGAAUUGACGGGG